rfam:Bombyx mori DNA, contig: Bm_scaf650_contig44115, strain: p50T/Dazao, build 2, whole genome shotgun sequence.
UUAACUAAGAUUUGUAUGGAGUUGGAACAUUUGCCUGCGUUUGCCGCUAGGGGCGCUGUUCCAACUGCAUACAAAUCUUAGUUA